rnacentral:rRNA from 1 species
UACGUAGGCAGCGAGCGUUGUUCGGAGUUACUGGGCGUAAAGGGUGUGUAGGCGGUCCCUUAAGUUUGGUGUGAAAUCUCCCGGCUCAACUGGGAGGUGCGCCGGAUACUGAGGGGCUAGAGUGCGGGAGGGGAAAGUGGAAUUCCUGGUGUAGCGGUGGAAUGCGCAGAUAUCAGGAAGAACACCCGUGGCGAAAGGCGGCUCUCUGGAACGCAACUGGACGCUGAGACGCGAAAGCGUGGGGAGCAAACAGG